rnacentral:rRNA from 1 species
AGGAGCAAUCCGCUUUGAGAUGGCCUCGCGUCCGAUUAGCUAGUUGGUGAGGUAACGGCCCACCAAGGCGACGAUCGGUAGCCGGACUGAGAGGUUGAACGGCCACAUUGGGACUGAGACACGGCCCAGACUCCUACGGGAGGCAGCAGUGGGGAAUAUUGCACAAUGGGGGAAACCCUGAUGCAGCGACGCGGCGUGGAGGAAGAAGGUCUUCGGAUUGUAAACUCCUGUUGUUGGGGAAGAUAAUGACGGUACCCAACAAGGAAGUGACGGCUAACUACGUGCCAGCAGCCGCGGUAAAACGUAGGUCACAAGCGUUGUCCGGAAUUACUGGGUGUAAAGGGAGCGCAGGCGGGAAGACAAGUUGGAAGUGAAAUCUAUGGGCUCAACCCAUAAACUGCUUUCAAAACUGUUUUUCUUGAGUAGUGCAGAGGUAGGCGGAAUUCCCGGUGUAGCGGUGGAAUGCGUAGAUAUCGGGAGGAACACCAGUGGCGAAGGCGGCCUACUGGGCACCAACU